CCUACGGGAGGCAGCAGUGGGGAAUAUUGCACAAUGGGCGAAAGCCUGACGCAGCGACGCCGCGUGAGGGAUGAAGGUCUUCGGAUCGUAAACCUCUGUCAGCAGGGAAGAACGGUCACUGUGCUAAUCAUCAGUGCAUUGACGGUACCUGCAAAGGAAGCACCGGCUAACUCCGUGCCAGCAGCCGCGGUAAUACGGAGGGUGCGAGCGUUAAUCGGAAUUACUGGGCGUAAAGCGCUCGUAGGCGGUAUGUUAAGUCAAGGGUGAAAUCCCCGCGCUCAACGUGGGAACUGCCUUUGAAACUGGCAAACUGGAGGGUGGGAGAGGAGAGUGGAAUUCCAGGUGUAGGAGUGAAAUGCGUAGAUAUCUGGAGGAACAUCAGUGGCGAAGGCGACUAGCUGGAACAUAACUGACGCUGAGGAGCGAAAGCGUGGGUAGCAAACAGGAUUAGAUACCCUUGUAGUC
rnacentral:rRNA from 1 species